rnacentral:rRNA from 1 species
UACGUAGGGGGCAAGCGUUGUCCGGAAUUAUUGGGCGUAAAGAGCGUGUAGGCGGCCAGAUAAGUCCGCUGUGAAAUCUCGAGGCUCAACUUCGAGCUGUCGGUGGAUACUGUCGGGCUAGAGUGCGGAAGAGGCGAGUGGAAUUCCUGGUGUAGCGGUGAAAUGCGCAGAUAUCAGGAGGAACACCGAUUGCGAAGGCAGCUCGCUGGGACGUAACUGACGCUGAGACGCGAAAGCGUGGGGAGCAAACAGG